AGUGAACGCUGGCGGUAGGCCUAACACAUGCAAGUCGAACGGCAGCACAGUAAGAGCUUGCUCUUACGGGUGGCGAGUGGCGGACGGGUGCGGAAUACCUCGGAGUCUACUUUUUCGUGGGGGAUAACGUAGGGAAACUUACGCUAAUACCGCAUACGACCUAAGGGUGAAGGCAGGGGAUCUUCGGACCUUGCGUGAUUGAAUGAGCCGAUGUCGGAUUAGCUAGUUGGCGGGGUAAAGGCCCACCAAGGCGACGAUCCGUAGCUGGUCUGAGAGGAUGAUCAGCCACACUGGAACUGAGACACGGUCCAGACUCCUACGGGAGGCAGCAGUGGGGAAUAUUGGACAAUGGGCGCAAGCCUGAUCCAGCCAUGCCGCGUGUGUGAAGAAGGCCUUCGGAUUGUAAAGCCCUUUUGUUGGGAAAGAAGAGCAGCAAGUUAAUACCCCGCUGUUCUGACGGUACCCAAAGAAUAAGCACCGGCUAACUUCGUG
rnacentral:rRNA from 1 species